CGGCCGCAACGCCGGCGCCUUCGCCCAACCCUUUGUGAAUUACGCCCGAUUUCCCCGGGGGGACCGCCUGCCCUGCGCGCGCGGCCCCCCGGCGGACCCCUCCAACUCGUGUUGUACCUGCAGUCCGAGUCUUAUGAGAAAUCAAACAAAAACUUUCAACAACGGAUCUCUUGGUUCUGGCAUCGAUGAAGAACGCAGCGAAAUGCGAUAAGUAAUGUGAAUUGCAGAAUUCAGUGAAUCAUCGAAUCUUUGAACGCACAUUGCGCCCCCUGGUAUUCCGGGGGGCAUGCCUGUUCGAGCGUCAUUUCAACCAAACCAGCCCCGCUGGGUGUUGGGCGUCGCGGUCCGCCGCGCGCCUCAAAGUCUUCGGCGGAAGCCGCCCGUUCCUCUGCGUGAUGCAUCGUCGUCGCUUGGGACACGGGGGUGAGCGCCCGGAAAUCGUCGGUGGAGACGCCGACUUCAAGGUUGACCUCGGAUCAGGUAGGGAUACCCGCUGAACUUAAGCAUAUCAAUAAGCGGAGGAAAAGAAACCAACAGGGAUUGCCCUAGUAACGGCGAGUGAAGCGGCAACAGCUCAAAUUUGAAAUCUGGCGCAAGCCCGAGUUGUAAUUUGUAGAGGAUGCUUCUGGGUAGCGGCCGGUCUAAGUUCCUUGGAACAGGACGUCACAGAGGGUGAGAAUCCCGUAUGUGAUCGGCGCGCGCCCUCUACGUAGCUCCUUCGACGAGUCGAGUUGUUUGGGAAUGCAGCUCUAAAUGGGAGGUAAAUUUCUUCUAAAGCUAAAUACU
rnacentral:rRNA from 1 species